rnacentral:rRNA from 1 species
AGAACGAACGCUGGCGGCGUGCUUAACACAUGCAAGUCGAACGCGAAAGGGAUUUCGGUCCCGAGUAGAGUGGCGCACGGGUGAGUAACGCGUAAGUAAUCUACCCCUGUAUUUGGAAUAACCCACCGAAAGGUGAGCUAAUACCGGAUACGUUUGAGAUGAUGCGAAUCAUUUCACAGAAAGGAGGCCUCUGCAUAUGCUUCCGUACAGGGAUGAGCUUGCGUACCAUUAGCUAGUUGGCAGGGUAAUGGCCUACCAAGGCGACGAUGGUUAGCGGGUCUGAGAGGAUGAUCCGCCACACUGGAACUGGAACACGGACCAGACUCCUACGGGAGGCAGCAGUGAGGAAUAUUGCGCAAUGGGGGAAACCCUGACGCAGCGACGCCGCGUGGAUGAUGAAGGCCCUUGGGUCGUAAAAUCCUGUCAGAUGGAAAGAAGUGCAUAAUGGUUAAUACCCAUUGUGUUUGACGGUACCAUCAAAGGAAGCACCGGCUAACUCCGUGCCAGCAGCCGCGGUAAUACGGAGGGUGCAAGCGUUGUUCGGAAUUACUGGGCGUAAAGCGCGCGUAGGCGGUUUACUAAGUCAGAUGUGAAAGUCCACGGCUCAACCGUGGAAGUGCAUUUGAAACUGGCAGACUUGAGUAUUGGAGGGGGUGGUGGAAUUCCCGGUGUAGAGGUGAAAUUCGUAGAUAUCGGGAGGAAUACCGGUGGCGAAGGCGACCACCUGGCCAAAUACUGACGCUGAGGUGCGAAAGCGUGGGGAGCAAACAGGAUUAGACACCCUGGUAGUCCACGCUGUAAACGAUGAGAACUAGGUGUUGGGAUGGUUAAUCGUCUCAUUGCCGCAGCUAACGCAUUAAGUUCUCCGCCUGGGGAG